rnacentral:rRNA from 1 species
UACGUAGGGGGCAAGCGUUGUCCGGAUUUAUUGGGCGUAAAGAGCGUGUAGGCGGCCAUGUAGGUCCGUUGUGAAAACUCGAGGCUCAACCUCGAGACGUCGACCGAAACCAUCUGGCUAGAGUCCGGAAGAGGAGAGUGGAAUUCCUGGUGUAGCGGUGAAAUGCGCAGAUAUCAGGAAGAACACCCGUGGCGAAGGCGGCUCUCUAGUACGGUACUGACGCUGAGACGCGAAAGCGUGGGGAGCGAACAGG